AAUAGAUACCCGGGUAGUCCACGCCGUAAACGAUGAGUGCUAAGUGUUAGAGGGUUUCCGCCCUUUAGUGCUGCAGCUAACGCAUUAAGCACUCCGCCUGGGGAGUACGGCCGCAAGGCUGAAACUCAAAGGAAUUGACGGGGGGCCCGCACAAGCGGUGGAGCAUGUGGUUUAAUUCGAAGCAACGCGAAGAACCUUACCAGGUCUUGACAUCCUCUGACACUCCUAGAGAUAGGAUUUUUCCCCUUCGGGGGUACAGAGUGACAGGUGGUGCAUGGUUGUCGUCAGCUCGUGUCGUGAGAUGUUGGGUUAAGUCCCGCAACGAGCGCAACCCUUGAUCUUAGUUGCCAGCAUUUAGUUGGGCACUCUAAGGUGACUGCCGGUGACAAACCGGAGGAAGGUGGGGAUGACGUCAAAUCAUCAUGCCCCUUAUGACCUGGGCUACACACGUGCUACAAUGGAUGGUACAAAGGGCUGCAAGACCGCGAGGUUUAGCCAAUCCCAUAAAACCAUUCCCAGUUCGGAUUGCAGGCUGCAACG
rnacentral:rRNA from 1 species